rnacentral:rRNA from 1 species
UACGUAUGGAGCAAGCGUUAUCCGGAUUUACUGGGUGUAAAGGGUGCGUAGGUGGCAGUGCAAGUCAGAUGUGAAAGGCCGGGGCUCAACCCCGGAGCUGCAUUUGAAACUGCUCGGCUAGAGUACAGGAGAGGCAGGCGGAAUUCCUAGUGUAGCGGUGAAAUGCGUAGAUAUUAGGAGGAACACCAGUGGCGAAGGCGGCCUGCUGGACUGUUACUGACACUGAGGCACGAAAGCGUGGGGAGCAAAC